rnacentral:sRNA from 1 species
AACUCAACUCGAUUGAAGCGGCAUCCUUUUUGGCUGUCCCCCCUGGAAGUAUCAGAAUGCAGCCAAAAAAAUACAGCGCAAAGCGAGGACUCAC